rnacentral:rRNA from 1 species
UACGUAGGGGGCAAGCGUUGUCCGGAUUUAUUGGGCGUAAAGAGCGUGUAGGCGGCCUGGAAGGUCAGCUGUGAAAACUCGAGGCUCAACCUCGAGACGUCGGUUGAAACCACCUGGCUAGAGUCCGGAAGAGGAGAGUGGAAUUCCCGGUGUAGCGGUGAAAUGCGCAGAUAUCGGGAAGAACACCCGUGGCGAAGGCGGCUCUCUGGGACGGUACUGACGCUGAGACGCGAAAGCUAGGGGAGCAAACAGG